AGUGAACGCUGGCGGUAGGCCUAACACAUGCAAGUCGAACGGCAGCACAGUAAGAGCUUGCUCUUACGGGUGGCGAGUGGCGGACGGGUGAGGAAUACAUCGUAAUCUACUUUUUCGUGGGGGAUAACGUAGGGAAACUUACGCUAAUACCGCAUACGACCUACGGUUGAAAGCAGGGGAUCUUCGGACCUUGCGCGAUUGAAUGAGCCGAUGUCGGAUUAGCUAGUUGGCGGGGUAAAGGCCCACCAAGGCGACGAUCCGUAGCUGGUCUGAGAGGAUGAUCAGCCACACUGGAACUGAGACACGGUCCAGACUACUACGGGAGGCAGCAGUGGGGAAUAUUGGACAAUGGGCGCAAGCCUGAUCCAGCCAUACCGCGUGGGUGAAGAAGGCCUUCGGGUUGUAAAGCCCUUUUGUUGGGAAAGAAAAGCAGCAGGUUAAUACCCCGCUGUUCUGACGGUACCCAAAGAAUAAGCACCGGCUAACUUCGUG
rnacentral:rRNA from 1 species